rnacentral:rRNA from 1 species
GCUUGCUUCUACUGGAUUAGUGGCGAACGGGUGAGUAACACGUGAGCAAUCUGCCCCUGACUCUGGGAUAACUCCGAGAAAUCGGUGCUAAUACCGGAUACGAACUGAGACCGCAUGGUCAUCAGUUGGAAAGAACUUCGGUCAGGGAUGAGCUCGCGGCCUAUCAGCUAGUUGGUGAGGUAAUGGCUCACCAAGGCGACGACGGGUAGCCGGCCUGAGAGGGUGACCGGCCACACUGGGACUGAGACACGGCCCAGACUCCUACGGGAGGCAGCAGUGGGGAAUAUUGCACAAUGGGCGCAAGCCUGAUGCAGCAACGCCGCGUGAGGGACGAAGGCCUUCGGGUUGUAAACCUCUUUUAGCAGGGAAGAAGCGAAAGUGACGGUACCUGCAGAAAAAGCACCGGCUAACUACGUGCCAGCAGCCGCGGUAAUACGUAGGGUGCAAGCGUUGUCCGGAAUUAUUGGGCGUAAAGAGCUCGUAGGCGGUUUGUCGCGUCUGCUGUGAAAAUCCGAGGCUCAACCUCGGACCUGCAGUGGGUACGGGCAAACUAGAGUGCGGUAGGGGAGAUUGGAAUUCCUGGUGUAGCGGUGGAAUGCGCAGAUAUCAGGAGGAACACCAAUGGCGAAGGCAGAUCUCUGGGCCGUAACUGACGCUGAGGAGCGAAAGCGUGGGGAGCGAACAGGAUUAGAUACCCAGG